rnacentral:rRNA from 1 species
AUGGACCCUGAGCCUGGAACAUGCCUGAUCUCGUCUGAUCUCAGAAGCUAAGCAGGGUUGGGCUUGGUUUGUACUUGGGUGGGAGACUGCCUUGUUUUUUUGAGAUGGAGUCUCUC